rnacentral:misc_RNA from 1 species
UGGCCAAAACAAUGGCUUAGUUGCAUUUCAUAUUCAAAUUAAAACAUAAUACCUUCAGAAAGUUAAUUCCACAAAAAAAAAAAAAAUCCCGUAAUCUUAAAAUAAACCCUAAUGAAUAACUAAUUCAAAGCAUUCUCAGAAGCCAAGCUUCGUACGACGCCAGUGCCUGCGCUUAGCGUUGUACCUGAUGGUAUUGUCGGUGCGCAUACGAAUCCAAUGAGGGAUAGGCCUGUUCUGCCUCAUCUUCUUCGCUAGCUUCUUCUUAAUCUUGAAAGUCUUGUGCGACGGCAUUUUUUAGUAUUCUUCUUCUACUCGAGCGCUUGCCUGCCAAGAUGGGUUGAGUCUGCGAUGCUUGAAGCGGCGGUGUUAAAAACCCUAGAGCGCUGAAGGAACUGAGGAAAUAUUCCUAUGUAAG